rnacentral:lncRNA from 1 species
CCCUGAGUCAGGCUCCCUGCUCAGAGGGAAGUCUACUUUUCUCUCUGUCUGCCACUUCCCCUGCUUGUGCUCUCCCUCUCUCCGUCGAAUAAGUAAAUAAAAUCUUAAAAAAAAAAAAAAGUAACACCCAUUUUAUAAGACGGAAAACCAAGACUCAGAUGAAGUAACUUUAUACUUAAUGUACAUAAGCCCUCAAAGACAAAAGGAUUUCUUGUCUUUUUUUUUUUGUAUGCAAUUCCCAGGAUCUAGACUCAGUAGUUUUCAAGGGCAAAUGGUCCCAGAACAUAUGCACUUGUGAUUUCACUGACCCCACAAACAGCCCAUCAGAUAGAUAUUAUAAUCCCAUUUUACAGACAAGGGAAGAGAGGCUCAGAGAGAGCAACAACCUGCCUCAAAUCAUACAGCUGUGAACUGUGGAGCGGUAAUCUGAACCAGGUCUCUUUCCACAGCAUCGCAGUUUUUCUGUGGGUAAACUGUCUGAAGGGGGCUGGGGGGGAGGAACAAGAGGAGGGGGAGGAGAAAAGAGAAGAAAGGUGGGGAGAUGAGGGGAGGGAAGGAGGCUGUGCACCUAGAAGGACAAAGGGAGAAAGCCACCCAGUCAGGGACAUACACAACAGCCACCAGUCCAGUUCCAGGGCCAGAGAAUCUUCCCCUCUCCCUCCAGGCUCAAUUCUCCUGGCUCUUGGAAGCUGGUUCUGGAUCCCACACAGGGAUGUGGAAAACAUGAAUAUUCCAGGCAUCCACAAUGGGAACAGAGCCCCGACCUUGGCUGUUAAGUACACCCAAGGGAAGCUUCUAGAAGCCCAGGGGCAGCGGCAUCGACAGAGUGCCUGGGGCAGCCCGGUCUGCUUUCCUCAGCCCUCUCCCCUCCUGGCCUGGCCAGGGGUGACCUUCUUGCCCGACAGCCCUCUCCUCCUCCACCCAGCUGCCCAGGUGCAGAGGGCCUGUUUAGGAGUCUGCAGGUCACACCCAUACUUUGCCCCAACAAGCAGGGGCCCCCAGGGUUGCCAUUCAUCCUGAAGCUGGCAGGGCUCUAGCCUCUAGAGUUGUGCAACGGGAAGCCCCCUUCUCUGUGCCUCACCCCCCUGCCUCUAUCAGGUGGGGCCUGUAGGACCAUCCCCUCAAGCCCGGAGCAGAAGGAAGGGAGGCUGAUUGUGGCAGAAAGAAAAUGUCACAUGGGGACCUUUGCCCAGGGGAGGCUGCAUCCUGGCAGCUCAACUUGGAGCAGCUGUUUCCCCAGUGUUGGUGCCUAGUGGGGAGGAGUAGGGGGGUAGGAGGUGAGGGGGUGAUGAGAGCUCACAGGAGACCUAGAGCCUGGGGGCAGGCCUUCCUCUGCUGUGGGAUUUUGGACAAGCUCAGUUUGAGGAUCUUUGAGGUCUCAACCCCCUUGCAGAUUGUGUCAAGAUGAACCAUCCGAGUCAGGAGGUGGCUGGCAUGUAGGAGGUGCUCAGUCUUAAUGGUUAUUCUUUUUCCCAGUAUCAUAGGCUGUGCUCUAUCACUUCGCUACUUGGUUCCACUCCUCCCCCACCCUGACCCUCUGUCCUCCAGAGCCCCCUGGGCCUCCUUCCUUCAGGCCCUAUACUGCAUCCGGAGUUGGCCCCUUCGUGACAUCGUUAGCAGCAUCUACAGGUGAUCAGCACAGGAUCUACCAAAUAGUAGAACCUUGCUGUUUAUGUCCCCCUUCUCCCGGGUUCAAUUUCUGGCAUCAGCACACCUCCUUCCUACAAAGAAUGAAAGUAAGGGGCAAUCAGAUGGUGGGGGCUGGCCAGGCCUCUGAGUCUGCCCUGGCCCCUCGCCCCUUGCUUGUUUUGGCUUCCCAUCAAGAAUGCUGGACCAGGCCUGGGAGGCUGACUGACCUCAGACUCCAGAGGGAAAGUCACACUUCUGCUCAACUCCCAGGAGCAGCCCUUACAUUCCAGGAGGGGCGUGGGAAGGGCCAGGCCUUCCUCCUGCUAAACUGAGCAGGGAGCCGCCUGCAGCCUGGCCAUGCUCACAGCCUCACACGGGCCAUGCCCACCUCCAGGUCCCCCGGGGAGAUCUGUCCCACUAUGGAGGCAUGGAGGGAGGGACGUGGAGGUAGAAGAUAUGCAUUGCCACCACAGGACAAAAAUGGAAGAAAUUUCCCAGUAAGAUGUCUCUGGCCUUCCCCAGUCACCUUGGUCUCCCUUGCCAGCUAGUGCUUUCUCCCUUCUGGUACCACCCCCCACCUUCAAAAAAACCCAGAAC